rnacentral:snRNA from 1 species
UUUCAAGAUUGGAUCCAUAAGGA